rnacentral:tRNA from 1 species
GGUGGAGCUCAGUGGUAGAGUACUUGCUUGUAAUAUGCAAGGCCCUGGGUUCAAUACUCAGUACCA